rnacentral:rRNA from 1 species
GGGGAAUAUUGCACAAUGGGCGAAAGCCUGAUGCAGCAACGCCGCGUGAGUGAUGAAGGUCUUCGGAUUGUAAAGCUCUGUCUUUUGGGACGAUAAUGACGGUACCAAAGGAGGAAGCCACGGCUAACUACGUGCCAGCAGCCGCGGUAAUACGUAGGUGGCGAGCGUUGUCCGGAUUUACUGGGCGUAAAGGGUGCGUAGGCGAAUGUUUAAGUGAGAUGUGAAAUACCCGGGCUUAACUUGGGUGCUGCAUUUCAAACUGGAUAUCUAGAGUGCAGGAGAGGAGAAUGGAAUUCCUAGUGUAGCGGUGAAAUGCGUAGAGAUUAGGAAGAACACCAGUGGCGAAGGCGAUUCUCUGGACUGUAACUGACGCUGAGGCACGAAAGCGUGGGUAGCAAACAGGAUUAGAUACCCUGGUAGUCCA